rnacentral:rRNA from 1 species
UACGAAGGGGGCUAGCGUUGCUCGGAAUUACUGGGCGUAAAGGGCGCGUAGGCGGAUAUCUAAGUCAGGGGUGAAAGCCCGGGGCUCAACCUCGGAAUUGCCUUUGAUACUGGAUAUCUUGAGUUCGGGAGAGGUGAGUGGAAUGCCGAGUGUAGAGGUGAAAUUCGUAGAUAUUCGACGGAACACCAGUGGCGAAGGCGACUCACUGGCCCGAUACUGACGCUGAGGCGCGAAAGCGUGGGGAGCAAACAGG